GUGUAGGGAAGAACUAUGAAAACAAUGAUACAUGAAUGAUUCAAAUCUAAUGUAGAGAGUAAGGGACUUUUAAAGGAUUACCAAAGUGGAUUUAGGACACGUUUAGGUUUACCAGGUCUGUCCGGCAGCCUGCCCCACCACCUGAUCCAUCUCGCCUCCAGGUGGGAAUCAGCUGCUGACAGCUCUGGCUCCUCUCUUCACUGGAGUGUCGAGAUGUGAAGAUAUAACUACACAGUCCAUCAUCGAUCUUUAAUCUGAGUUGUUACGGUACCAGGUACACUUACGAUCAUCCCAGUACACAACAAAAGAAAGACACUUAUGAAUGUAGGCCUACGUGGGUGUGACGAGAUGAAAACGAAACCAAACACAGGGGUGUCAUGUGAAGUUUUUUUCUACGGAGCUUUUCAAUAUAAAGUGUGAUCUCUAGUCUCUAUUUUCAUUUUAGCCACGCAGAUAAAAUGAAGAGAGCCCAGUAAAGUUACAGAAGACAGCAGCAUAAAGAGAGGCAACAGGACUUCAAGAGCCCAGUAAAGUUACAGAAGACAGCAGCAUAAAGAGAGGCAACAGGACUUCCGCGUCAAGAGCCCAGUAAAGUUACAGAAGACAGCAGCAUAAAGAGAGGCAACAGGAUGUCCCCGUCAAGAAAGGAGCUCCAGAAGGCCUUGUUGCGCUACACUGCAGACACCCUCAUCCACAUCCACACGGUGAGAGGAUUCUGUGAGAGGGUCC